AUUGAACGCUAGCGGCAUGCCUUACACAUGCAAGUCGAACGGCAGCGGGGGAGCUUGCUCCCGCCGGCGAGUGGCGAACGGGUGAGUAAUACAUCGGAACGUACCCAGUAGCGGGGGAGAGCCCGGCGAAAGCCGGAUUAAUACCGCAUACGCCCCACGGGGGAAAGGGGGGGGUCGCAAGACCUCUUACUAUCGGAGCGGCCGAUGGGUGAUUAGCUAGUUGGUGGGGUAAAGGCCGACCAAGGCGACGAUAAGUAGCUGGUCUGCGAGGAGCACAAGCCACACGGGGAAUGAUAACCGGCACGGACUCCUACGGGAGGCAGCAGUGGGGAAUUUAGGACAAUGGGCGCAAGCCUGAUCCAGCAAUGGCGAGUGCGGGAAGAAUGUCUUCGGGUUGUAAACUGCUUUUGUACGGAACGAAAAGGCCCUGUUUAAUACCUGGGGUUCAUGACGGUACCGUAAGAAUAAGCACCGGCUAACUACGUGCCAGCAGCCGCCGUAAUAC
rnacentral:rRNA from 1 species